GUGAUUCAGAACCAUGACGUUAGGCAGGUCCCAAUCUGUACCUUCCUCAGAAAGAAUGGAGCCAUGAACGAAGUGAGUCUUGUUGGAUACGCCUGAGAGAUUCCCAUGGACAGAAGAAGAAAAGAGUUGUAUUGGAGCCUAUUUCAGGACACACAUGGAGUAAUAUGGUACUUCCUGGGGAGAGCAGCCAGCUGCAAACUACAGCCCUUCUCUGCUUCCUUGGAUAUAAGAGUGAUAACGUAUUUGUUGAGUGAAGAAAUCAGGCAUCCACUAGUAAUCCCUCAGACAGAAAGAAAAGAAGCCCUGGCCUGAUGGCACGGACUGAUUUCCUGAAAGAGAACCUUAGGCUGUUCUUUGGGCUCCUUGCAAGCAAUGGGCCCUGGCUCCACCUCCCCCUAACUUCAUUAGUCCUGACCCCAGAGAGUGUAUGUCGCAGAAAUAAAAAUGGAUUGUUGGCCC